rnacentral:lncRNA from 1 species
CCAUAUUUCCAUCAGAUGUGUUUCUCAAGCACUCUGCCACUCCUUUCUACCUCUCCUGCGUUUGAUCUGAGGACGGCCCGUUCCACAGGAACACAAAGGCACAGAAGAUGAAGUAACUUGCCCACGGCCACACGGUUGGUAAGUAUUGGGGCUAACUUCCACCUGAGCCAUUUGGCCCCAGAGCCUGCCUUUCUAGCCACUGGGGUCUCUGUGUCUCCUCCCAUCUGGCCAAUGCACUUAAGGUCUUCCAGGUUUGACGUGGGUACCAGGAUCUGAAGUAUCAGCCUUUCAGUGUUAGCACAAAGCAGGCAGAAAACUCAUGCGAUUGUUAAAAGUGAGGCUUCUGGGGCCAGUCAGGUCUGGGUGUGAAUGUCCGUCAUUUACUGACCCUGAGGAACUUAUUUUCCCCCUUCUCAGCCUUGGUCCCCUCCUCUGUGAAGUGAGAAUAAUAAUGGUAUUGACCUCAGAGAGUUGUUGUGAGGAGGAAGUGAAGUAAUGCGUGCAAAGUGCUCAAUAGAUAUUAUUUGUUAUCAUUAUUAUUCUUAAAGAGCAAAGAUUGCAAUGUCUCUCAAUCGGACUCUCACUCCACUCAAUUCCCCAGAAGGUAGUGUGCUGGAAAGGUAGGAAUUGUGAAAGGGGUUUGAGAAUCAACUAUGAUAAAGUAGAGCUUGUGGAGUCUUUGGAGAAAGGCUCUCUUGCUUUCAGAAGUCCAGAGUAGUUCAGGGCAUUAUCCAAAUCCCAUGAUGUUAGGGGUACUUGGUGGCCAAUAAAACCACCCCCAUUCUUCUGGCCCAAUGGGCUCUGUCUUAAUCUUCAUGACUCCAGGGCCCCAGGGCUCAGGGCUACAGGAAGGAAAAGUACUCCAGGCUGAAGAUGGGACUCAUAAAGAAGCUUCCUGUCUCCCAAGGCCAUCUCAAACUUCACUCAGAGGAUGCUGGGGGUAGCUUUAAUUGGCCCUCCUCGCCACACGCGGUGCAAACAGCCCUGGAAUGUUUCCUUAGAUGAGGCCGUCUCUGACUUACAGGAAUAAAGAGUCACCUUUAAUUCCUGGGUCCAGAAGGAGCCCAAAUGAAUUUAGAACAACUAAAGACUCAGUUCAGAGGGACACUGAAAAAAGCAACCAAUAAUUACAGCUUGGGAGCCAUGAAGUAGCCCAAAGAGACCGAGGUCUGUCCAUAGGAGACCAAAGAAAGAAUUUUGUUUACCAAUUUUUCAUUUAUACUCCACCUACUUCCCAAAAGAAUUUGGGGUGGCUGACAGGAGAAAGCAAACAAGAAUCCCGGCUCUAAGACUUUACCCACUGGUAAAGCUCCUGAGAUGGAUCUAAUAAAGUGGGUUAUUUUGCCACGAGAAAAAAGAGACAGAUCAUGGAACCAAACAAGUCACAUGGAGGGACCAGCUACUCAUUUGCAUGACGCACAUUGAGAAGAGAAACCAUUGUGAACACUUCUUUUUCUAGCAUCAUCAAAGAAUGAAAUUUUUCAUUCAACCUUGCCAUCUUUAAAUGACUGAUUCCUCUCUGUUCUGGGCUCCGAAAUACUACCGUUAGAAUUCUUAGUGCAAACGCGACACAAGUAAUUGCAUCGAUUUAUCAGGUGGCUUCCAUUGUGGCCGUUGGUGCAGGACUGGAUGCUGGUUUGGGGUAGAGGAAGCGAACAUCUAGAUUCUCCAGACUUCUAGGGAAAGAAAGGAUGGGCAGGCAUGGGGUACAGGUGGGGUUGGUCUGACUGCAGAGUGGGGAACAUGGAGAAAAUAGAAGGUGGGCAAAUGCAUGGCAGCAAGAAACUGACAUUUUUUGAGCAUCUAUUUUAUGUUUAGGCCUUUCCAAUGUUACCUCUACAACAACCCUGUGAGAAUGGCAUUUUUACUCCUAAUCAUACGAAGGAGGAAACUGAGGCUCAGAGAAGUGCAGUGAUGGACCUAACUCACUCAGGAGAGAAGCAAGUUCUGACUUGUUCACAAUGAGAUCCAGCUCCAACCGAUUUAAAAUCGUGGGGAGCAUGACACUUCUUGGCUGCUGUGGCAUCCUGGAAGUCCAGACCUGAGGGUGCUUUAGGGAUUCUCUUAGUACAACCUUCUCCUUUGACAGAUAAGGAAGCAAAAGCUCAAGGGCCUGAGGCCUCUUGCCUACUUUGUGAUAGCAGAGGCUCAACUUGAAAGUCAGCUUUAAAUUCCAGGGUCCUGCUGCUUUCUGGAUGGCCACCAUGACACCACCUCACACAAACCUCCCUAAAAUUCUCC